rnacentral:rRNA from 1 species
GCUUACGGCCAUACCACUCUGAACACGCCCGAUCUCGGAAGCUAAGCAGGGUCGGGCCUGGUUAGUACUUGGAUGGGAGACCGCCUGGGAAUACCAGGUGCUGUAAGCA